UACGGAGGGUGCAAGCGUUAAUCGGAAUUACUGGGCGUAAAGCGUGCGUAGGCGGUUCGUUAAGUCUGUUGUGAAAGCCCCCGGGCUCAACCUGGGAAUGGCAAUGGAUACUGGCGAGCUAGAGUGUGUCAGAGGAUGGUGGAAUUCCCGGUGUAGCGGUGAAAUGCGUAGAGAUCGGGAGGAACAUCAGUGGCGAAGGCGGUCUGCUGGGCCGUUGCUGACGCUGAGGCGCGACAGCGUGGGGGAGCAAACAGG
rnacentral:rRNA from 1 species